GGGAAUGAAAGGAUCAGUAAGUCUUUAUAUCUAGAAACCAUCCGGCCACACCAGAAUGACAAAGAAAAACAAAACAAAGGCCAUCCAGAGCGCCCUGAGAUAACAUACUAAGAUGAAAGUAAAGGCUGAAUAUGAUUGUCAUCCUGACUUUGAGGUUCAGUUUGUGCAGCUCAAUAGCAUGUCUCUUUCGUUCUCAAGAAAGUCAUUACGAAACACCUUAUAGUUUUGUGUCUAGCAGACUCUUAAAAUGGUGGCACAGCUCCCAAUAUUCUAAAAUGGUAUGUGUAAACUUAGCCCUGGAAAGUCCCUCGUUUAUUGGGAGACCAACCAAUCCCAACCUAAACUGCCCAGCCUACACCAUGGAAAGUCACCCAAGCACCUAACUGCCUAUAAAAGAUGUCUGACUUCCCCUGCUGCUUGCUGUUUCUCUGCUCCUCAAGAGGCAGCCCAGUGUUCUGCUCGCUAUCAUAGAGUUGUCCUGCUAAUGCACCCAGCCCUUGGCAACAGUGGAUCUGCUUUUUGACACUUACUGGGUCACCUGUCCCUGGUGUCCUCUGGAGUUUUGUUCCAGUCUCCUCACUCUCUCCCCCUGUGGUGGUUUGAAUGAGAAUGUUCCUCAGAGGCUCCAUGUUUCUGGACAUUUUGUCCCCAGUUGGUGAUGCCAUUUUCAGACGUCUUAGGAGGGGUGGCCUGCUGAAGGAAGUGUGUCACUGGGGACAGACUUUGAGAGAUCUUGAGGUUUUCCAGAUUUCUAGAUGAUCUCUACUUCUUGUGCCUGCUUGAAGAUAUGAGUGCUCCUUGUUUUACUCUGGCCACCUCUUGCCACCAUGCCUCCCUGCCAUGACGGAUUCUGAUUCUUCUGGAACU